CGCCCGGCGCCUCCCCGCUGCCGGCCGGGUCCAAGGGCAGCCGCUCGCCGGGGAGGAGGUGGUGAAGAAGAAGGCAAAACCUGGUCAGUGUUUCAAGCUAUCCAGUUUCGAUGCUGCCCUUAAGAUUGUGGAGAACCUGUUGCGAAGGGAUUUGGGAUGUUCCCUCACUCCCUCUGCCUCCCAAGAGGAUGACCUGUGCCUAAACCACCCCUAGCAGAUGCUGAGCUAGAAAAUGCAAUGCAGGGUGAUGUGCCCUCAGACUUGUUUUUUUUUGUGGGUGCUAUUGCUCAAGCCUCUGGCUUUACCUCAACCUUCAGGCCAUUAGAGCUACUUUAGCAGCACCUGAGAGACUCAUACCAGAGCCUGGCUCCCCCAGAGGGAGAGUACACAGUGUCCUGGGCCUGCGGAAUGGUGCUGAAGCCUCAGAAAUAAAUAUUCAGCCCUCACUGAACUUCUGGUCUGCAGCUUCUUGCUCUGUAUGAGGAUAAGUAGCUCCAUGUUAUCUCUGUCAAGGAAAUUACAUGCAAUAACAGCCUUCUGCUCCAGCUCCCCCCUCAUUUUUUGUUUGUUUUCUUUUUCUUUUUUUCCUCUUCCCCCUCUUUCAGCCUGUGGGGCUGAGGAUGCUUCAGUAAUGUGAGCUUCCAGGGGCACUGCAUGCAGACUACACACAGUGGAAAAGAAACUGUGAGGGGAGCAGGGCUGGGGGGGGACUGACCUUGCAGUGAGCCAGUGUGAUGGUGCAACCUUCCCUGCACUCUUGGACCACUCAAUACUUGGUGCAAUUUCUCCCCCUCAGGCAACAUACCAAUGUGGGACAAGUCAGGUAUGGAUUGUGAAAGACAGGCUACCAGAAUGCUGAGACACCUCCUUGACUCACCUCG